rnacentral:hammerhead_ribozyme from 2 species
AGCCGAAACGCUCCACUCCGGAGCGUCAGCCGCGGACCGGUCGCCGUGGCUCUGAUGAUGGCAGACCAGA